rnacentral:rRNA from 1 species
UGGGGAAUCUUCCGCAAUGGACGAAAGUCUGACGGAGCAACGCCGCGUGUAUGAUGAAGGUCUUCGGAUUGUAAAGUACUGUCAUUGGGGAAGAACGGUUUUCUUGAAAAGAUUGAGAAGACAUGACGGUACCCAAGGAGGAAGCCCCGGCUAACUACGUGCCAGCAGCCGCGGUAAUACGUAGGGGGCAAGCGUUGUCCGGAAUUAUUGGGCGUAAAGGGCGCGUAGGCGGGCCUUUAAGUCCGGUGUGAAAGAUCAGGGCUCAACCCUGAGAGUGCAUCGGAAACUGGAGGCCUUGAGGACAGGAGAGGAAAGUGGAAUUCCACGUGUAGCGGUGAAAUGCGUAGAUAUGUGGAGGAACACCAGUGGCGAAGGCGACUUUCUGGACUGUAACUGACGCUGAGGCGCGAAAGCGUGGGGAGCAAACAGGAUUAGAUACCCUGGUAGUCCACGCCGUAAACGAUGAGUGCUAGGUGUAGAGGGUAUCGACCCCCUUCUGUGCCGCAGUUAACACAAUAAGGCACUCCCGCC